CAGCAUCCACCCCAGCAGCAUCCACCCCAGCAGCAUCCCCAGUCACAGACCCAGCUAAAUGUGUAGAAGAAGCUUGGCAGGGAACAGAUGUCUAUGUGCUGCUCUCAAAAAUAGGGCCAUACCUAAUCUUCUUUGCCGACAUCGCAAGAACCGCUCCAGAUAUGGAGUUUGAGAGUGAGGUCAUGAAUGCCUACAUGCAGCUACUGGUGCGAGACUUUAAUGCGAAGUCAACCGACAGGGCUAUGGCAAUAGACACAUUUGAGAUGUCCAACAUAUGGAAAAGGAAACAACCAAAAGUGAAG